rnacentral:rRNA from 1 species
UACGUAGGUGACGAGCGUUAUCCGGAAUUGCUGGGCGUAAAGCGCACGCAAGCGGUCUGACAAGUCUGGCGUGAAAUCCUCUGGCUUAACCAGGGGCGGUCGCUGGAGACUGUUAGGCUUGAGGCGAUGAGAGGGGUGCAGAAUUCCCGGUGUAGUGGUGGAAUGCGUAGAGAUCGGGAGGAAUACCAGUGGCGAAAGCGGCACCCUGGCGUCGGCCUGACGCACAUGUGCGAAAGCGUGGGGAGCGAACGGG